AGUGAAUAGAUACCCGGGUAGUCCACGCUGUAAACGAUGAUCACUCGAUGUGUGCGAUAUACUGUACGCGUCUGAGCGAAAGCAUUAAGUGAUCCACCGUGGGGAGUACGGUCGCAAGAUUGAAACUCAAAGGAAUUGACGGGGGCCCGCACAAGCGGAGGAGCAUGUGGUUUAAUUCGAUGAUACGCGAGGAACCUUACCUGGGCUUAAAUGGGAGAAGACGAUUGCCGAAAGGUGAUUUUCCGCAAGGACUUCUUUCAAGGUGCUGCAUGGCUGUCGUCAGCUCGUGCCGUGAGGUGUUGGGUUAAGUCCCGUAACGAGCGCAACCCCUAUCCUUAGUUGCCAUCAGGUUAUGCUGGGAACUCUAGGGAAACUGCCUACGCAAGUAGUGAGGAAGGUGGGGAUGACGUCAAGUCAGCACGGCCCUUACGUCCAGGGCUACACACGUGCUACAAUGGCAAGUACAGAGGGUCGCUACCUGGUGACAGGAUGCUAAUCUCG
rnacentral:rRNA from 1 species